rnacentral:rRNA from 1 species
UUCCUACGGGAGGCAGCAGUGGGGAAUAUUGCACAAUGGGGGAAACCCUGAUGCAGCGACGCCGCGUGAGUGAAGAAGUCUUUCGGUCUGUCCCGCUCUCUCCGCCGGGAAGCCCCUGCCGGUCCCUGACUAAGAAGCCCCGGCUAACUACGUGCCAGCAGCCGCGGUCCUCCGUCGGGGGCAAGCGUUCUCCGGCUUUCCUGGGUGUAACGGGCGCGUCGCCGGCGCGGCACGUCUGCCGUGCCCGGCCGGGGCUUCCCCCCUGCCCUGCUUUGGAACAUGCCAUGCUAGAGUGCUGGCGAGGG